rnacentral:rRNA from 1 species
UACAGAGGUGGCAAACGUUGUUCGGAUUUACUGGGCGUAAAGGGUGCGUAGGUGGGUUCGUAUGUCGGGUGUGAAAUGUCACCGCUCAACGGUGAAAUUGCAUUCGAAACUGCGGAUCUGGAGUGCAUGAGGGGAGAGCGGAAUUCUUGGUGUAGCGGUGAAAUGCGUUGAUAUCAAGAAGAACACCGGUGGCGAAGGCGGCUCUCUGGCAUGCUACUGACACUGAUGCACGAAAGUUGGGGGAGCAAACAGG